rnacentral:snoRNA from 1 species
AAGCAGCACCCUGUGACACAUCAUCAGCACGUCUGGUGCAACCUGAGCUUGCUACAGCAAGAAGUCGAAGCUCUUCAGCACUGUCCCUCUGUGAGACGGGCCCUUCCCCAGACUUAAACAGU